rnacentral:rRNA from 1 species
GUGCCAGCAGCCGCGGUAAUACGAGGGGGGCGAGCGUUGUUCGGAAUUAUUGGGCGUAAAGGGUGCGUAGGCGGUUUGGUAAGUCUUGUGUGAAAUCUAUGGGCUCAACUCAUAGACUGCACGAGAAACUGCCGGGCUUGAGUAUGGGAGAGGUGAGUGGAAUUCCUGGUGUAGCGGUGAAAUGCGUAGAUAUCAGGAGGAACACCUGUGGCGAAAGCGGCUCACUGGACCAUAACUGACGCUGAUGCACGAAAGCUAGGGGAGCAAACAGGAUUAGAAACCCUAGUAGUCCAAU